UUUAGUAAUUGCGAAUGAACAAGGAUAUGCUUAGCUUGACAAAUGGAGCUAUUGGCUUUGAAUUGUAUUGUGGAAAUGUAUUACCAACAGAGGUGCAGGUGCCAGCCUAUUGAAAUAAAGCGUCAAUGAGGGUGAGAAUCCUGUUUGUCAUGUGCAGCCCUUUGUGCACGGUGUAUAUUUGCUGAGUCACACUCCUUGGCAUUGGAAUGCAAAGUGGGUGGUAAGUUUCAUGUAAAGGUAAACAUGCAAUUGAGACUGAUAGCACACAAGUACCAUGAGGGAAAUAUGAAAAGGACUUUGAAAAGAGAAUUAAAUGAGUUUGUAUUUGCUGAACACAAAGUAAACAGACUUGAUUUGCUUGGUGGGAGUGUUGCACUUGCUUGACAAGAGCUUUGGGCUGUGGGUGUAAUGAUUCUUUCUUUGCAUGCCAGUUUCUAUUUGUACAUCUGAUUACCUUUGCACAUGAAUGAUAAGUCUCCUGUGGGGGGUGGAUUGCAUGUGCAUGUAAUGAUUUGUGUUUUGAUAAAUGUGUCUGGUGUAUGUGUGUGUUCCUGUGCUUGGGGAUGCUUCCUUCCUUGGACUUACAAGCCCUGACACACACAUGCUGGCAAAAUGCUUCUGCUUGACCCGUCUUGAAACACGGACCAAGGAGUCUAACAGAUGUGCAAAGUUUGAAGGUGGUAUACCUUUGUGUGCAAUGAAAGUGUCAGCUGGGAUAUGUGCACCAGCACCCAAUUAAUUAGCGGACAGAGGUUUGAGUUGGAGCAUAUCUAUUAGGACCCGAAAGAUGGUGAACUAUGCCUGAACAGAAUGAAUUCAGAGGAAACUCUGAUGGAGGUUCGUAUCGAUACUGACGUGCAAAUCGUUCGUCAUAUUUGGGUAUAGGGG
rnacentral:rRNA from 1 species